GCCUCUGCUGCAUUGGGCUGUUUGGAUACAUCGGCUGCAGCAGUGGUCACGCAUCCCUCCGCAGCCUGCUGAUUUUGCAAAAGUGGGAGGCAAAAGAUCAUUUUGCAGUCCAGAUGCUGUCAAACACAAGCAAUCAAUGGAAGGAAUGGCACAAUGAGCAGACGAGCAUGUGGAAGCAGCUUACGAAGAAAUAGUUAAAUGCCGAGUUUUGUCCCGGCCGAUGCUGUAAUAAUUACUGAGCUGAUGUUAAGAAGUAUCUUCUAGCAGGUGGGACGAAGAAGACUUUGGGCCUCACUAAUACUCUUCCAGCUGUGCCUGCUUCCAGAAAAAAAGGAAGACAAAGGAGAAACAGCAGCUUCCAGAACCCGCUCCUUUUCUAGAAGAUAAACAUAAAUCAAUCGCACAGGAAUAUAGCCUGAAUUCAGGCUAUAUUAAAGAAACUGAACAAGACCUCCUUGCUUUCUGAGAUCUGUCCUGUUACACCUGUUCUUGGUUACAAGAGAAUGAAAUUCUGUGAACAAUUAAGCAAGUGCUUUAAAAGAAAACUGGAGAAGUAGCAGAUGGUGAUGCACAGAGACACCUUGGGUAGAAGAAGGAUGGAGUGAAGAUUGAGUUGACUUUCAUAUUCUUGGGCUUUCUGGUGUCCACUGAAAAGAUGAUAAGCAAGAAGGAUUAAAAAAUAACUUUCUAAUUUAUAAAUCCAAAAUCUGCUUCAUGUUCCUAUCAAGAAGAUAUCAAAGAAAAAGAGACAAUGGAGAUCAAGGAUAAGAACAGGUAAAAAAACACCAACUAAACAAAAAAAUCUCCUGAAAAAAUUUACUGUUAGGUUGCAUGUUCUUGAUCAAAUAUCCAUGGGCAGUAAUUUAAAGAAGUCUGAAACUUGCCUAGUGUUUGUACAAAAUUUCUAUUUUUAAAGGUGAAAUUAAUUUCUUAAAUUACAAAAUAUUAUAUAGGUACCAGGUUCUGCUGCCUUUACUUAUGAAUUGUUUCCAUGAAAUUAAUGAGAACUUCUUGAAAAAACUCCUGUGAUUAAAGAGUUCAUAGUAUAACUUUCAAUUUACAGUCUCCAUCCACUAUAGCACUUCUUGUAAACAAGUGAAAGAGAAAGUUCCCUUCCUGUGCUUGCCAAAUGCACAAUUCAAUAAAUUGUUUCACUGGGAUGAAUGUA